GAAUGUUAUACAAGUUCAAGCAGGGGAUCAGAGGCAGGCAGUGAGGAACAGAUAAAUGCUAUGAAAGUUUGAGGAGAGGUCAAAUCAGAUUCAAUCUGGGAAGGAUUUGGCAACUCUAAUUAGAAAACAGCCUAAAGGAAGAUAUUAACUUUUCAUUUUGACUCAGACAAAGAGCUAUCAGCCAUUGGAGAAGAUUAUUUGUGGUUUGCAUCUGGCUGCAAAGAAUAUGCUAUAGAUCAAGAAGUGGGUGCUUGGCAUUGUGCCACUGCAGUAAAACAUUAUGGAACAGACAACUCACAGCGGGAGAACUGACUUUUCUGAUUGUCCUGUCACUGUAGAAAUUCUUAUCUGUAUGCCACUGAAGGAAAUAAAGAUAUGAUAACUAAGAAAAUAUCU